AGCUGAAAUCAGUCGAAGAUACCAGCUGGCUGCAACUGUUUAUUAAAAACACAGCACUGUGCAAACACGAAAGUGGACGUAUACGGUGUGACGCCUGCCCGGUGCCGGAAGGUUAAUUGAUGGGGUUAUCCUCGCGGAGAAGCUCUUGAUCGAAGCCCCGGUAAACGGCGGCCGUAACUAUAACGGUCCUAAGGUAGCGAAAUUCCUUGUCGGGUAAGUUCCGACCUGCACGAAUGGCGUAAUGAUGGCCAGGCUGUCUCCACCCGAGACUCAGUGAAAUUGAACUCGCUGUGAAGAUGCAGUGUACCCGCGGCAAGACGGAAAGACCCCGUGAACCUUUACUAUAGCUUGACACUGAACACUGGUCCUUGAUGUGUAGGAUAGGUGGGAGGCUUUGAAGUGUGGACGCCAGUCUGCAUGGAGCCAUCCUUGAAAUACCACCCUUUAAUGGCUGGUGUUCUAACGUGGGCCCGUAAUCCGGGUUGCGGACAGUGUCUGGUGGGUAGUUUGACUGGGGCGGUCUCCUCCUAAAGAGUAACGGAGGAGCACGAAGGUCAGCUAAUCCUGGUCGGACAUCAGGAGGUUAGUGCAAUGGCAUAAGCUGGCUUGACUGCGAGCGUGACGGCGCGAGCAGGUGCGAAAGCAGGUCAUAGUGAUCCGGUGGUUCUGAAUGGAAGGGCCAUCGCUCAACGGAUAAAAGGUACUCCGGGGAUAACAGGCUGAUACCGCCCAAGAGUUCAUAUCGACGGCGGUGUUUGGCACCUCGAUGUCGGCUCAUCACAUCCUGGGGCUGAAGUAGGUCCCAAGGGUAUGGCUGUUCGCCAUUUAAAGUGGUACGCGAGCUGGGUUUAGAACGUCGUGAGACAGUUCGGUCCCUAUCUGCCGUGGGCGCUGGAGAAUUGAGGGGGGCUGCUCCUAGUACGAGAGGACCGGAGUGGACGCAUCACUGGUGUUCGGGUUGUCAUGCCAAUGGCAUUGCCCGGUAGCUAAAUGCGGAAGAGAUAAGUGCUGAAAGCAUCUAAGCACGAAACUUGCCCCGAGAUGAGUUCUCCCUGACCCUUUAAGGGUCCUGAAGGAACGUUGAAGACGACGACGUUGAUAGGCCGGGUGUGUAAGCGCAGCGAUGCGUUGAGCUAACCGGUACUAAUGAACCGUGAGGCUUAACCUU
rnacentral:rRNA from 1 species